rnacentral:tRNA from 1 species
GGGUUCCUGUAGUUGAAGUGUUAGUCAGCGGCGGCUUUUCAAGCCGCAGGUCUUGGAGAGAAGCCAAGCAGGAACU